CUGUCAUUUUUGUUGUUGAAGAUUUCAGCUAUAAGGGUUUUUCCACAAGUUGCAAAUAUACAGAUCUUGUGUCUCCUAUUUGAUUACAUUUGUUUAUUUAUUUAUUUCUAAUUCAUCAGGGUUAGCUAGUUUUCGUUCAGAUCAUGAGAAAAUUUUCCCCUUCAGGAAGUUGCCUCUUUGAGGCAUAUUAUCAAACAUUAUGGGGGCAACUCUUAAUGAACAAACCAGCAAUCAACUAUGAUGAGGGACAUACCAAGCCUAUCCUUUCUGUGUGCUGGGAUCCAUCUGGUGAGUUCCUUGCAUCAGUCAAAUUAUACAUGGUCAUCCUAUAAGGUUAGAGCAUACUUACAGCAUCAAUGGAAGCAGAUUCUAUCUGGAAGGGUGUCUCUUCAGGAUUUUGUAUCUGCAAAGGAGGUUCGCCUAGGCACCUACCGUAACUAGCUCUGUUCUUGUUUUGGCAGGAUAAACAAACAAUGUUAUUGUUAAUGGGAAAUAGCAGCAGCCCAUCAUUAGCGAAGAUUCAAAGGAAGCUAUGAAGCAUGCAUUCGAACUCUUUAAUGUUCGAUUGGAAGUAGACUUUGGGACUAGUGAUAUAGGACAUAGCUUAGGAUUGUAAUGAAUAUUUGUAAUUUAUUACAUUUGUCUUUUGUUAAUGAUGAUAUAUACUAUUCUUCGAACAACAAUUUUUCAA